UACGUAGGGGGCAAGCGUUGUCCGGAAUCAUUGGGCGUAAAGCGCGUGUAGGCGGUUCGGUAAGUCCGCUGUGAAAGUCGGGGGCUCAACCCUCGGAUGCCGGUGGAUACUGUCGAGCUUGAGUACGGAAGAGGCGAGUGGAAUUCCUGGUGUAGCGGUGAAAUGCGCAGAUAUCAGGAGGAACACCAAUAGCGAAGGCAGCUCGCUGGGACGGUACUGACGCUGAGGUGCGAAAGCGUGGGGAGCAAACAGG
rnacentral:rRNA from 1 species